ACAAUACUCUUAUCUGGGACCAGUUUCUAUGGGACUUGAACAACUUUGAAAGUGAUCCGGAGGAGUUUGCUAAAACCUUGUGUGCAGAUUUAGGUGUUCAUGACCCUGAAGAUGGUCCUGCUAUUGCUUUUGCAAUUAGAGAACAGCUGUAUGAGUAAUUUUGCUUACAACUAUCUUAGUGGUACAAUACUAAAGGAAUGGGCUUCAAGCUUGCAGUGAUUUUGCUUACAACUAUCUUGGGAGAUCGAGCAAAUUGUAUUCUUUUUUAUUAUCAUGUAAAGCUCAUGAAACUUGAAAGCUUGUUAAGCUAAUGAAAUAGAUAUAGGCACUUGGGCAAGCUUAAUUCUUGUCUAAAUGUUAGGAUGAAUACUGCUGAUGGAAUGAAAUGGUUUUUGGAAUCAAGGAUAUGUUGUUCAAUUGUGUA